CUGAGGCAGGAUUUGAACUCAGAUGUCUUGACGUAUCUACUAUACCACUUAGCUUCCAGCUCCAGAGUCAAUUUCUUCAUGAAUCCUUUCCUGGCUCUCCCAGAUGCUAGUAUCUUUCCUUCCCCAUGUUAACUUGUAUUAUUUCUUUUGUAUGUACACAUAUACAUACACACAACAUUCACAUACACAUACACACCCAUGGGUAUAUAUGUUUCUCCUCUCACAAAAAUGUAAGCUCCAUGAGGGCAAACAUUAUUGUGGUUUUGAUGUUGUAUUCCUAGUGACUAGCACAGUUCUUGUCGUGUAGGAUGCUUGAUAAAAGUUGACUGAUUAAGAUACUCAGAACUAUUGUAAGGGAGCUUGGAGAGGACCAUAGUAUAGCAAUGUCGCACAGCUACUGAAAUGUUGGGCAGGAAAUGGUUAAGCCCCGAACUAUUUCUAUACCUCUGCUUUGCUCUGCUUAUUGUAUUGAUACGGAGACAUUGCAGCAUCAGUAUGAAUAUUCCCUGAGAUUAAGAUACCAGGCUGAGAGGGCCCUUCAAUACAAGACACAAAACAGGAACAAAUUAAUCUAGACAAGAUAGGGUACUGGCAGAGAUAGAUAAGUUUUUGAUACCAUGUGAAUAAUGUAGUUACUAAGUAACAAAAAAAACCCUGAAACCACAGAUUCUUCCAGAAAAAAGAUGUUCAAAAAUAAUUAGGGACAGGUUAUUUAUUAGGCAGCAAAAUAGCAUAAUUAGAUGGAGAAAUCUGGGGCAUGUAUUAUAGGGGAAAGAUUUGAAGAAACUCUAUAUUAAAUGAAUUGACACUGGUACAGUCUUUGGGUUAUAUAACAAAGAAGAAACAAAGAUUCCAGAUUGCUAGGAUCCGUUGAAACAGAGCCUUCUGUUGACAUUGUGCCCAAUUCCAUGGAGCAGGAAGCUAGAACAACAAACAGGAAUUGUAUUUGAGUGAUGUAUCUGUCAAAAGUAUUUUGUUGCUCAGAAUACAGGCAAGUACAUUUGGGGAAUAGUGAACAGAAGGAGAAGCCACAGGAGAUCUACAUCCAGAAGAAGGCAACUGUCAUGUCUCCUCUAAUCAAGAGUUAAGUAUCCCCUGACUCCAGCUUCUCUCGGUCAACUGAAGCAUUCACUCCUACUGGCUCCCCAGAGGCCUGGAAGAGAUGUGAAGUGCCCUGAGGACAGAAUGCACUACAUGUGAUUCUUCAGAUUCAUUGUGACUAUCUAGACAAGACUCAUUGGGACUGAAAAAUAUUAAUCAACACCUUGAUGGAAAUAAUGAUAGUGAUCCCACAUGAAUUCAAAAUCCAGAAAGCUUCUGCAUUCUUCAAAUUCCCUCCAGCCCUGGACUUCAUGCAUUGAAGGACCUUCCACCCAUGUGAUCCCUCCCUCUGAUUGGCUAAUUCCUUCCAGAACCUCCAUUUUAAGGAGUACAGUUAUCCCUUCCACAGUUCAAGGGCCAGGAUGGCCCCCAAGAUCUGGAAAAUGCAGAUGACAUGUCUAGCUUCCUGAGUAAGUUCAUCAGCCUCAGCCACAAGCCCUGCAAAAAAACAAGCCAGGAUGGCUAGGAAGGAAUUCCUAGAACACCUUCCUGAAAUACAGACCCAAAGGUGAUGCUUACAAGGAGGAUGAAAGGAGAGGAAAAUCCUCAAACAUCUGUUGUUUGGUGAGCUGAAAGAGGGUGACGGAGAGCAGAGGGGGCAGGAAAAAAUGUUAAAGAGAUCUCAAGCAACGUGCCACGGCUGAGGCUUGUGAAGAGCGUCCAAGGCUGG